rnacentral:tRNA from 1 species
GCGGGUGUCGUAUAGCGGUAAUACAUAACCUUCCCAAGGUUGAAACCAGAGUUCGACUCUCUGCACCCGCACCA